GGACCCGCACAAGCGGUGGAUGAUGUGGAUUAAUUCGAUGCAACGCGAAAAACCUUACCUACCCUUGACAUGUCUGGAAUGCCGAAGAGAUUUGGCAGUGCUCGCAAGAGAACCGGAACACAGGUGCUGCAUGGCUGUCGUCAGCUCGUGUCGUGAGAUGUUGGGUUAAGUCCCGCAACGAGCGCAACCCUUGUCAUUAGUUGCUACAUUUGGUUGGGCACUCUAAUGAGACUGCCGGUGACAAACCGGAGGAAGGUGGGGAUGACGUCAAGUCCUCAUGGCCCUUAUGGGUAGGGCUUCACACGUCAUACAAUGGUCGGGACAGAGGGUUGCCAAGCCGCGAGGCGGAGCCAAUCUCAGAAACCCGAUCGUAGUCCGGAUCGCAGUCUGCAACUCGACUGCGUGAAGUCGGAAUCGCUAGUAAUCGCGGAUCAGCAUGUCGCGGUGAAUACGUUCCCGGGUCUUGUACACACCGCCCGUCACACCAUGGGAGUGGGUUUUACCAGAAGUAGUUAGCCUAACCGCAAGG
rnacentral:rRNA from 1 species